UGUUGGUCUUCAUGGUCUGGAGAAGUUUUAAAUGUUCCCAAACUCUCAAUCACACAAAGAAAUAGAUUAGUCAAAUUCUAUGAUACCGAUAGACUGUAU